GGCGUAGGAUAUUUGAGAGGAGCUGUCCUUAGUACGAGAGGACCGGGAUGGACUGGCCGCUGGUGGAUCUGUUGUCUUGCCAAAGGCAUAGCAGAGUAGCCAAGCCGGGACGGGAUAAACGCUGAAGGCAUCUAAGCGUGAAGCCCCCCUCAAGAUGAGAUAUCCCAUCGCAAGAGUAAGACCCCUUGAAGACGACGAGGUAGAUAGGGCGGAGGUGGAAGUACAGUAAUGUAUGAAGCUGACCGUUACUAAUAGGUCGAGGGCUUAACCAG
rnacentral:rRNA from 1 species